UGGGAACCCUGCAUUGUUCUUGAACACUAUCUUCUCCCCCGCAGCCACUGAGAAGCUGCUUGGUUCAAAAACCAACCCACCGUCUGAGCUUCCCAGCAGCACCUCGAUGGCCAUGGCGUUUCCGGCCAGGAUUGCACUGGCUGCGGUGGCAACGACCGCAGCCACACCGGCUUCUUUCAGCGAAGCCUUGAUGCUGAGCUUUGGGAGGAGUGGAGUGGCGGUUGACACCUUGGCAGUGGUGGUGGUCAUGGGUCUGCUAGCGGACUUUAGGCCGGUGAAUGAUGGGAUGGCAACAGCAGCAGAAGAGGUGAUGCCUGCCAUUGGGAAGGAUUUCAAUUCCUUUGCUUUCUUUUGGGAGGGAGUUAGAAG
rnacentral:misc_RNA from 1 species